UCACAAAGGAAAUAUCCUCAGGUGCUGGGGACCAACUUGGUUCUGGGCUGUUGUCAAACACAGACACGGUCGAUAAAACAAUUUAACAAAACGCCUUUUCACUCUGACACAUUGUAGAGGAAUGCAGUUCGGUGGAGACAAUGUUAUCACUCCACCAAGGGGAGGGAAAUCUCCACUCCCGGAUCGGCCCGGACCACGAGGAAAAGGCUCCUACAGUUACUAUGUAUAGUGGAGACUUCCAGCACACCUCAAUUUGGACCGGCCAUAUCUCCAGGACUCAAUGGCUGCACAUGGCUAGUGGCUACCUGAGGGACAGUGUGGCUCCGGAGCUGGGAUGAGUGCCGCUGGAGGACAUAUGCACAGCUGAGGACCUGACUGCUACACAGAACGCGCUCUCUGCGGGCAAGACUGUCUCGGAGAGCACUGGCCGCAAGGUCACUCCAAGGUUGGGCACAAGGGUGGAUGAAGGAGCGAGUGUGUGACUGGAGCAGUGAGGGGCACAAGGCUUCUUGACACGGAUGUACACUGCUGCACAGUAGUGUCCCUGUGUUUCAUGUAAAACACAGAGACUGGGAGAAAUGAGAACUGGCCCGGGGCUCGGCACAGCUGCUGUCGAGUACCAUGAAACAAGUCUAGAAGCACAUUUUUCCAAUGGCACAUGAGCUUGUGUGAAGUGUACGGUGAAAGGAAUAAUGACAAACCAUGGAAAGGGAAACAAGAAAAGAGGCCGAGAGAGAGAACGAUGCUGUAGGGCCCCCCAACCUACCAAAAGGAGUCACUAGGAGGAAACGCACAGGAAACAACUUUCACAGGACCGGGAAGCCCUGCCCAAAUCUCCUUGCCUCUUGAUUCCAGGGCUGUGACUUCAGCUAGGAAACCAGUAUCAUCCCAGUGACAGCAGGGUUGCAGCACACACCGUGUGUACCAACUGUGUGUAUCCAGGUCCUCAACUGCCAAGCAUAGCCCUGAACAUAGCUCCAGGCUGCCCUCCACCAGGUUGUCAGCUGCAUGGUCACCAGUGUUUAUCCUUGCUGUCUUGCUCUAGCUUCCAGCAAGUGGUGGGAGCAGUCCCCUGCUGAGCCUGUCUUAGCCCGUGUGCUGUUUCGGUAACAGAGUACCCAAGGCUGACAACCUCUGAAAGACCUGGAGCACAUGAGGUGGCAAUGGGAAGAGAUCAAGGAGAUGAUUUUCAGCAUUUUCUUAGGAAGUAAAGUUCUCCCUGCCCAGGGGACACUUAACAUUUGAUGAUUAAAAGGAAAGGAAUGAAAUGAAUUCACAUAGGGUUCAUACCAAGACUUAGAUAAAUCUCAGUGUGAAAAGACUUGCCAAGGAGAGAGGUAUAGCUUUUAAAGACCACUGGACAAAUGUGGCUAAGAAGUUUCAUUGACCAAUGAGAAAAAGAAAGAAUGCAUUGAGGUGGCUAUUGGAACAAUGUACUUCUGUGCUCUCGACUCUGUCAAGAUUAAAUGAAUGAAAUUCUCAAAACGCAAAACAGUCAGGAUGAGCAGGUGAAAGGCUUUACCUGGGGUGAGGAGAGGUAAACAAGGAUACUAGCCUUCCUGGCACCGCUGACCCACUGAAGCAGAACAUCCUUUUGCCCAAAGGACAGCGGGGGCUGGAGCCAGGAGCCAGGGCUCCACCUGCUGUAUGAGAAGGCCGGCCCCUGAGCCAGUGCACAUCCAGCCUGUGACCCUCCCUCCAUACCCGAUUCCAACUGGUUGACUCACCCUUCCCUCCCACCCCUCUGGUGCUGUGGGAUCUCAGUGUCUAGGCAAAGACCACAUGCUCAGUUCAGCCGGAGGCUUACAAGGGUGGAGCACAAUGCCGUGGACCCCCCGUCCCAGAUCCAGAACCCACAGAGGCAAGGAACAACACAGAGCAGAUCUCCCCGCCCUCGCCCAGCACAUCUCCUAGGAGGCAGCCCAUGUCAUUUCUUUGCUCAGAGUGUGUGAUGCUCUCCAUCUUACUCAGAGAUGAAACUCAAGGCAUUACAAUGAUUUGCAAGGGCGCACUCCCUACUCCCUAAGCUUUUCUUCUCCUCUCCCUUUUUCAGAAAUCCUAGUCUUCUGCCAAUUCUGUUGUGAGCGGGCAGUAUUGAGAAUCAAAUCUAGGGUUGCUCUAGCACUGAGCUAUAUCCCAGUCUUUUUUAUCUUUUACUUUGAGACAGUCUCACUCAGUUGUCCAUGUGGGACUCAGACGUAUCAUCCUCCUGCCUCAGCCUCCCAAGUGCUGGGGUAAUAGGGGCACACUACUAUGCCAAGCCUUUCUGCCAACUCUUAAAUGGGUUGAGGGGACCUCGAAGUUAGGGCCUUCAUACUUGCUGUUCCCAUAUCCUAGAAUGCUCUUCUUUCCAGUCUCUGUUUGACUUUCUCUUGAAUAUCCUUUAAGCCUCUGUCUGAUGUCACUUUUGUAUUUCUUGUCCACCCAGCGUAGAUUAACAGUGCUCUCUCCCCAUAUCUGUGAGAUUUCCUAUUGCUGAGACACAACACCCGACACCUGCAAUUUGAGAAAGGAGAUGUUAACUUGGCUCAUGGUUUCAGGGGGUUAGUUCAUAGUGAGCUGGCUCUAAGGCAGGAACAUCAUGGCAGGAGGGCAUGGCGGAGCAGAGAUACUUAGUUCGUGGGACUCAGGAAGUAGAUCAGGGGAAUAAUAUUAGAGAGGAACGGGCCAGCAACCAGACAUAGGUCCCAAGGCUGUGCCUCCGUGUGUUUUAUCCAGCCCCUGCACAGCUUCCAAGCCAAUCAAAUUGACACAAAUAAGCUUAACUACCACACUCCUUGCCUGUCUCACUCUGCCUUCUGCUCUAUUUUUCUCUGUAACACUUACUACAGAGUUACUGAUUGAUUAGUUGUCUGCCCCAAAAGAAUGUAAGCCCACUGAGAGCAGAGAGCACUUCUAUUUUGUAUACCACUGUAACCUUGGUGUCUCUGAGAGUACUUCGUUCAUAAUAGGUUGCUGAUACAUAUUUGUCAAAUGUAGGUCACAUAUGACCAGCAGGACACUUGUUAGUUGAGAAUAUUUAUGUGGUACUAGGGGUUGAACCCAGCAUCUUUACACUGAACUACAUCCUUAGGCCUUUUUUAAAAUUUUACUUUAUUUGAGACAAGUUCUUCCCCAGUCACUAAAUUACACAGACUGGGCUUAAAUUUGCGACCCUCCUGCCUCAGCCUCUCAAAGUGCUGGGAUUACAAAGCCUGCACCACUACAUCCAGCUGGGAAAAAAAAAAAAUUUAAGUAGCAAAUCUAUGGUAUCAUCUUGACUUCAGGUAGCAGUUUUAUGAAGUAGAUGUCAUUAUGAUUCCUUAAUUUUUAUUUUAAAAAAUCAUAAAUGCCAACAGUGUGCAUGGUAGUUGACCAUUUGCCCACCUAUGGCCUGCAGGCCAAACUUGGGCCACCACUUGUUUUUGUAUGACCUGUGACCUAAAAAUGACUUUUCUACAUUUUUAAUGGCUCUGAAAAAAAUCAUAAUGAGAGUAAUAUUUUUGGGGGUUAAAAUGCUUCACAAAUAAAGAUUCAUUGAGAUAGGAGCACAUUCAUCCACUGCAUCUUCUCCAUGGCUGCUUUUAUGUUUUAUCAGCAGAUAAGCAAUUGUAACAGAGACCACACAGCCACAAAAUCUAAAAUAUUUACAAUUGGAAUAUUAGUCCUGAGUAGACAGCAGGAAUCUGAGAAUUUACAGCUCAUGUUUGUCGGUUUCUGGCUUAGAGCAAUAUGUGGCAAUUGAAAGCUGAGGAGUAUGCAGGGUAGAAGGAAUAUUUCUUCCCAUUUUUGGAAGGAAAAACUAUGUCUUUUCCUUCUACAUUUGUGUCUCACUGUCCUGAGACCACAGCAAGCUGGGGGUCGGGAGCAUUCGUUUUCUCAUCUAUCGUGGUAGAUGUGUGAUACAGCGAGCCCUGUGAACUGCAGGCUGAGUGACCCCUCCUCUGAGAGAAGGCAGACCCUGUGGCUGCCUGGCAGCCAGAAGAACACAGCAGAUGUGAAGCGACAUCAUGCAGCCUGCAGAGAGCUCUACACAGAGCUCUCUGUGGACAGGGCCACGUGCCAGGGACAUGUGGGCACCCUCUGGGGGCCUCGCCACACAGCCCCUGGGAAAUGAGUUGUGCCCCCCACAAACAAGCUUGGGAAAAGCGUGUUCUCUGCUAAGCAGCCCCCAAACACCUUCACGGCAGCCGGUGAGACCCUGAGAAGAGGGCCCAGCUGAGCCAUCCGCAGACUCCUGAUGGACAGCAACUGGGGUAACAAAGAUGGGUUAUGUUAAGCCACUAAGACUGUGAUCCUUUCUCACAGAGUACAAAUGGUGAUUGAAAAUAAUGCUAUGUGGCCAGAUGGGGUUGUGCAUGCCUGUAAUCCAGCACUCUAGGAAGCUGAGGCAGGAGGAUCAUAAGCUUGAUUUCAGCCUGUGUAUCUUACCAACUUAGCAAGACCCUGUUUCAAAUUUUUUUUUGAAUGUAAAGAGGUGAAAGCCCUGGGUUCAAUCCCCAUAAUGAAGGGGGAAAACCCUACCACAUCUAUACAAUGAGGUACUUGAACUCUAUUUUAGAAUACCUUGAAGGAGUAUGGCUCGAUGCUCAUACCAACACGGAUUCCCACCCUCUCUUUAAAACUCUGGAUAGGUAGACUUGGGUGUGACCUGAAAUCUGUUUUUAAUCAGCAUCCUGAAUGAUUCUUACACACCAGUUAAUGUUAGAGAUCACUACUUUUGUUGUCAAAAAGGGGCAGAAUGGGGCUGGGGAUGUAGCUCAGUGGUGCAGCACCUGCCUGGCAAGCAUGAGGUCCUGAGUUCAAUUCCUGGUACCAAAAAGAAAAAAAAAUGGGCAGAAGUACUCAUGGAUGGAAGUGGUCGGACAUGAAGUGACCAGAGAAUGGGAAGGGAGAGAUGUCUGUGUGUCAAGCAUACUGUAUUCUUUUUGCACCUCCGUGCCCUCUGGCUAGAACACUCUUCUGUAAUUAAAAGUUCCUGUUCACCCCCCAAUAUUGCCUCCUCUGUGAAGGUAUCAUAAAAUCCCUCCAAGGAGGAUCCUCUCA